CUGCUGAUCCCAGAGAACAUGGGUUUGUUCUCUUAUAUCCAGUAACCCGAAUGUAGUCUAGUAAGGUUUGCUCAAGUGAGAUGGAAAAUGAAGAGGUAGGCUCCAAAACAGACUUGCGUAUUGGAGACUUAUCCACCACAUGGUGAUGCCUUCCCUGGCCUCCUUGAUUGCAGUGUGGGAUGUGCCCUGAUCCUUGGAAAGGGGUGAGUGAUUCCUUCAUCCUUACUAGAAGGUAAUCUCUACUUACCUUUUCUUGUGUCCAUCAGGUGGCACUGGAGAGUUGUGACCCUGCUGAGCAGUGCAAGGACUCUACUGAGGCUCUUGGUGGACACAGCAAGAACCCACACCCAUAGGUGGAUGCCAAUAUCUAUUCCUUCCUGUCUGGCAAGCUCUGUUGUCCCCUGAGGUCGUUCCCAUGCUUGCAGAGGUCCUAUGGACUUGUUGGUUGUCGCUUGUGCUCACUGGGCUUAUCAAGGGUGUUCCGCUUGCUUGACACCACCUUUCCCAUCCUCUAUUUCCAAGCAGGAGCUCCCUUUGGCCUCCGUGUCUCGCUCUGGCCAGGCAGAUGUGGUGUGCCAAUGGAUCAGAGCCUUCAGAAUCCAACCAAAAGAAAUGAGGAGAGAGGCUGCCCUGGGUGAGACAGGAGAAGUGCCCCUUGAAGCGGGGGACGCCCCACUGGCACUGCCUCUCACAUCCAUCGGCAGCACAUUCCUUUUCUCUCCUUGCCACCUGGCGCUUUGCCAUCUCCCAGUGCUUGCCAAGUCCAAGUAUUCCCUGAUGGAGUCCAACUCCAGCUCGACCAUCACUCACCCGGUCUGUCCCCACACCAGCUGGCUUAGGGCUCUCCAGUACUGCUGGAUGUCAGUGCCUUCUGUUGCUCCCUGUCAACAUGGUGGUGUUCUUUCUUUUUAGGUUCAGUAAUGUGUCUUCUUGUUAUGCAGUGUUACUCUUCUCUAUUUUCUUGUGUUUCAUGUUGCCUGUCAAUGCCUCUUUGGAGAUACACUGAGUGAAAUGUAAACUGAUGUUCUUUGACCAAGUGUGAUGGAAAAUGAAGAUGUAGGCUCCACUACAGCUAUUGUUCGAAGCGGGAAGGACCAUUUUGACUAUUUGUCAACGCCCACCUGGCAAUCUGAAUUUAGGAGCUGCUUUCAUGGACGUGUCGCUGCAGGGCAAAGAAGGCCUCAAAACUUCAGUGGACCUCUACCCCCAAAAGAGCUCUGAAACUUAUGUUAAGAAAAUAAAUGUCUUAAUAUUUUUCUGUCUUCUAUAGUUUUAACUGUUGCUUUAGCUUGGCCGGAAAAUAGGUAUGUAAAACUAAUUGAAAAUCUUGCUGAAGGAAGGUUUUAGUGUUUCAGACUGUUGGGUUUGUAUGACUCUCCCAAGAAGUGUAGGAAGUGUGCCAAUUUACGCAGCAGUUGCACUAAAUUGAACAAUACUGAAUUAUGUAACAAAUCAGAUGGAAAACGGUGGAAAUUGUAAAUGCGUGGAUGAAAAUCAGAGUAAGGUCGUUGAUUUGUUUGUUUGCUUGUUUUUUUUUUUUUUUUUUUUUUGUUGUUGUUAUUAUUACUAAUACCUGAACCAUUUUUAUAGACAGGAAUGACAACAGUGCAAACCAUAUAAACUUUGGGUGCAGGAACCUGUCAGGUGUAGGGUGUUGUUGGGAAUAUGGCAAUUUUGGGAUGCUUACGAGAUAUAAUGAGACCGCUCGAUGGCAGCAAGGCAGGUACUGUGAUCCUAGGGCCACUAACAAUACAGUGCAGUCUGGAGAUAAAGAUAUAUUAGCUAUAGCGGGCAUGGGGACUGCAUCAAUGUAGCAUAGGCAAAAACACUGUCAGCUCCUCUCUGGGUAUUGGUGGAUGUGUGCGAAAUAGAUACGCAUGUGAAAUUCUCCCAUUGAAUUGGACUGGGACAUGCACAGCAGGUUAUCUGAUGCCUCACACAAGUAUCUACACUUGCAUAGAGCCACCAUGAGGAUUUUUAAGAGCUAUGCAGCUAUAGACUAAGAGAGGGAAUACUCCACUAGUUGAAAGGACUAUGGGAUUCCAUAGUUUUAUUUGAUGGGUACUUUCAGCUGUCGGAGUCACUGAACUGGAACAAGCAGUUGUGAAUGUAUUAGUCACUAUGGAAAGAAUUGAGAACCUAAGUUUAGAAGCCAUCCAGGGUCUUCAGACAGAGA